rnacentral:rRNA from 1 species
GACGAACGCUGGCGGCGUGCUUAACACAUGCAAGUCGAACGGAAAGGCCCUGCCUUUGUGGGGUGCUCGAGUGGCGAACGGGUGAGUAACACGUGAGUAACCUGCCCUUGACUUUGGGAUAACUUCAGGAAACUGGGGCUAAUACCGGAUAGGAGCUCCUGCUGCAUGGUGGGGGUUGGAAAGUUUCGGCGGUUGGGGAUGGACUCGCGGCUUAUCAGCUUGUUGGUGGGGUAGUGGCUUACCAAGGCUUUGACGGGUAGCCGGCCUGAGAGGGUGACCGGCCAAAUUGGGACUGGGAUACGGCCCAAAGUCCUACGGGAGGCAGCAGUGGGGAAUAUUGCACAAUGGGCGGAAGCCUGAUGCAGCAACGCCGCGUGCGGGAUGACGGCCUUCGGGUUGUAAACCGCUUUCGCCUGUGACGAAGCGUGAGUGACGGUAAUGGGUAAAGAAGCACCGGCUAACUACGUG